GUACUGACCCUACGGGGGGCAGCAGUGGGGAAUAUUGGACAAUGGGGGCAACCCUGAUCCAGCCAUGCCGCGUGUGUGAAGAAGGCCUUCGGGUUGUAAAGCACUUUCAGCUGUGAGGAAAGGCGAGUGGUUAAUACCCGCUUGCUGUGACGUUAACAGCAGAAGAAGGACCGGCUAACUCCGUGCCAGCAGCCGCGGUAAUACGGAGGGUCCGAGCGUUAAUCGGAAUUACUGGGCGUAAAGCGCGCGUAGGUGGUU
rnacentral:rRNA from 1 species